GAUGAACGCUGGCGGCGCGCCUAAUACACGCAAGUCGAGCGAACGGACGAGAAGCUUGCUUCUCUGAUGUUAGAGGCGGAAGGGUGAGUAACACGUGGAUAACCUAACUAUAAGACUGGGAUAACUACGGGAAACCGGAGCUAAAACAGGAUGAUAUUAUGAACAGAAUGGUUCAAAAGUGAAAGACGGUAUUGCUGUCAGUUAUAGAUGGAUCCGAGCUGCAUUAGCUAGUUGGUAAGGUAACGGCUUACCAAGGAAACGAUGCAUAGCCGACCUGAGAGGCUCUUCUGCCCCACUAGAUCUUCAGCACGUUCCUGACCCCUACGGUAGGCAUCAGUAUGCUAUCUUCCGCAAUGCUCGACACCCUGACGUAGCAACGCCGCGUCAGUGAUGAAGAUCUUCGGAUCCUAAAACUCUGUUAUUAGGGAAGAACAUAUGUGUAAGUAACUGUGCACAUCUUGACGGUACCUAAUCAGAAAGCCACGGCUAACUACGUG
rnacentral:rRNA from 1 species